rnacentral:rRNA from 1 species
AAUGCUUAGGAAUCUGCCUAUUAGUGGGGGACAACAUUCCGAAAGGAAUGCUAAUACCGCAUACGCCCUACGGGGGAAAGCAGGGGAUCUUCGGACCUUGCGCUAAUAGAUGAGCCUAAGUCAGAUUAGCUAGUUGGUGGGGUAAAGGCCUACCAAGGCGACGAUCUGUAGCGGGUCUGAGAGGAUGAUCCGCCACACUGGGACUGAGACACGGCCCAGACUCCUACGGGAGGCAGCAGUGGGGAAUAUUGGACAAUGGGCGAAAGCCUGAUCCAGCCAUGCCGCGUGUGUGAAGAAGGCCUUUUGGUUGUACAGCACUUUAAGCGAGGAGGAGGCUACUGAGAUUAAUACUCUUGGAUAGUGGACGUUACUCGCAGAAUAAGCACCGGCUAACUCUGUGCCAGCAGCCGCGGUAAUACAGAGGGUGCGAGCGUUAAUCGGAUUUACUGGGCGUAAAGCGUGCGUAGGCGGCUUUUUAAGUCGGAUGUGAAAUCCCUGAGCUUAACUUAGGAAUUGCAUUCGAUACUGGGAAGCUAGAGUAUGGGAGAGGAUUGGUAGAAUUCCAGGUGUAGCGGUGAAAUGCGUAGAGAUCUGGAGG